GACGAACGCUGGCGGCGUGCCUAAUACAUGCAAGUCGAGCGGAUCUUCAUUAGCUUGCUUUUGAAGAUCAGCGGCGGACGGGUGAGUAACACGUGGGCAACCUGCCUGUAAGACUGGGAUAACUUCGGGAAACCGGAGCUAAUACCGGAUAAUCCUUUCCCUCACAUGAGGGAAAGCUGAAAGACGGUUUCGGCUGUCACUUACAGAUGGGCCCGCGGCGCAUUAGCUAGUUGGUGAGGUAACGGCUCACCAAGGCAACGAUGCGUAGCCGACCUGAGCGGGUGAUCGGCCACACUGGGACUGAGACACGGCCCAGACGCCUACGGGAGGCAGCAGUAGGGAAUCUUCCGCAAUGGACGAAAGUCUGACGGAGCAACGCCGCGUGAGCGAUGAAGGCCUUCGGGUCGUAAAGUUCUGUUGUUAGGGAAGAACAAGUACGAUAGUAACUGAUCGUACCUUGACGGUACCUAACCAGAAAGCCACGGCUAACUACGUGCCAGCCGCCGCGGUAAAAC
rnacentral:rRNA from 1 species